rnacentral:rRNA from 1 species
UACGUAGGGUCCGAGCGUUGUCCGGAUUUAUUGGGCGUAAAGAGCUCGUAGGCGGUUUCGUAAGUCGGAUGUGAAAACUCAGGGCUCAACCCGGAGACGCCAUCUGAUACUGCGAUGACUUGAGUCUGGUAGGGGAUCACGGAAUUCCUGGUGUAGCGGUGAAAUGCGCAGAUAUCAGGAGGAACACCGGUGGCGAAGGCGGUUCUCUGGGCAUUACCUGACGCUGAGGAGCGAAAGUGUGGGGAGCGAACAGG